rnacentral:misc_RNA from 1 species
UCGGGAAUGCCCUCGUGGCUUAACCUGCAACCCACUGUUGUCCUGAAGCCUUUGUUUCUUUGGCGGGUGCGGACCGGAGACGGUUUGCCCCGCCAGAGUUCAUCUCAAACUCGUUUGUAAACGUGUCUUCUGAAAUCAAAUAUCAAUAAAAGCA